GACGAACGCUGGCGGCGCGCUUAACACAUGCAAGUCGAGCGAAGCGGCGGACGGGUGAGUAACACGUGAGUAACCUGCCUUAGAAAUUGGGAUAGCCUCGGGAAACCGGGAUUAAUACCAAAUGGUCUAAGAUGGACUCGCCUCCCAUUCGUUGGUUGGGAGGUAACGGCCCACCAAGGCGACGAUGGGUAGCCGGCCUGAGAGGGUGAACGGCCACAUGAGAACUGAGAAACGGGCCAAACUCUACGGGAGGAAGCAGUUGGGAAUAUUGCACAAUGGAGGUAACUCUGAGGCAGCGAAGCCGCGUGACCGAAGAAGGCUUUCGAGUCGUAAAGUUCUUUUAGAUGGGAAGCGGUACCAUAAGAAAAAGCCCCGGCUAACUACGUGCCAGCCGCCGCGGUAAUUC
rnacentral:rRNA from 1 species